rnacentral:rRNA from 1 species
UAAGGAAUAUUGGACAAUGGUGGAAACACUGAUCCAGCCAUGCCGCGUGCAGGAUGACGGCCCUAUGGGUUGUAAACUGCUUUUAUUCGGGAAUAAACCUCUGUACGAGUACGGAGCUGAAGGUACCGAAAGAAUAAGCAUCGGCUAACUUCGUGCCAGCAGCCGCGGUAAUACGAAGGAUGCAAGCGUUAUCCGGAUUUAUUGGGUUUAAAGGGUGCGUAGGCGGGUUUGUAAGUCAGAGGUGAAAGCCCAUCGCUCAACGAUGGAACUGCCUUUGAUACUAUAGAUCUUGAGUGCGGUUGACGUUGGCGGAAUGUGCAGUGUAGCGGUGAAAUGCUUAGAUAUUGCACAGAACACCUAUUGCGAAGGCAGCUAACGAAGCCGUAACUGACGCUGAUGC